AAUGAACGCUGGCGGCGUGCUUAACACAUGCAAGUCGAGCGGUAAGGCCCUUUCGGGGGUACGACGAGCGGCGAACGGGUGAGUAACACGUGGGUGACCUGCCCUCAGCUCUGGGAUAAGCCUGGGAAACCGGGUCUAAUACUGGAUAUGACUCCAUGACGCAUGUUGUGGGGUGGAAAGCCUUGUGCGGCUGAGGAUGGGCCCGCGGCCUAUCAGCUUGUUGGUGGGGUGAUGGCCUACCAAGGCGACGACGGGUAGCCGGCCUGAGAGGGCGACCGGCCACACUGGGACUGAGACACGGCCCAGACUCCUACGGGAGGCAGCAGUGGGGAAGUCUUGCGCAAUGGGCGAAAGCCUGACGCAGCGACGCCGCGUGAGGGAUGACGGCCU
rnacentral:rRNA from 1 species